AUGAUACAUUUCGAAUGGAAUUUUCUUAUUCCCAGCAAAUGUGAGUGUACAGGACGUGUCCUCCAAGGCCCUGCACUGUGCACACUGCAUUUGUACCCUGCAUACGUUGACAAUGAGGUCCCUCACAGCAACCUGCAGUGUGACACACUACACGACAGAGGGAUCAAUGCUCUUUUUCCUUCUGCAGGCUUCACAAGAAAAGGUGAUAAAGGCAGAAAAUGUUCGUCACCACACAAAUGUCUAGAAACCGAGAAUCUUCUAAAUUCUGCUAGAAAACUGCUAGAAUCAAAGAUCUUUUGGCAAUUUUACUUUCUUGAAAUACAUUGGUCACUUUUCAGAGAGAUGAAAACAGCUUGUGUUGUAGAGUCUUUUUGCUGGCGCACCUGUACUCAGGCUUAUUUUGCCAGCCCUGCGGGAGUAUUUCUGCCGUAUAUUCCUCUGAAAUGCCAAGGGUCAGGCUUCCAGAGGCACUUUGUUUUCUUUCUUUCUUUCUUUCUCUCUUUCUUUCUUUCUUUUUUUUUUUUUUUUAACAUUUUUUAUGGAUUUAUAAAUCAUUUUACAAUGUUACAACAUUUACAAUAUUUACAUUUACAACGUCAAAUUUCACUGUAGAGCACAAUUUUUCAGUUAUACAUGAGCAUAUACAUAUUCAUUGUCACCUUUUUUUUUCUGUGAGCUACCAUAAGAUCUUGUGUAUAUUUCCCUGUGCUAUGCAGUAUAAUCUUGUUUAUCUAUUCUACAAUUUUGAAAUCCCAUCUAUCCCUUCCCACCCUCCACCCCCUGGGCAACCACAAGUUUGUAUUCUAUGUCUAUGAGUCUGUUUCUGUUUUGUAUUUAUGUUUUUUUUUUUUUAGAUUCCACAUAUGAGUGAUCUUAUAUGGCAUUUUUCUUUCUAUUUCUGGCUUACUUCACUUAGAAUGACAUACUCCAGGAGCAUCCAUAUUGCUGCAAAUGGCGUUAUGUUGUCAGUUUUUAUGGCUGAAUAGUAUUCCAUUGUAUAAAUAUACCACCACUUCUUUAUCCAGUCAUCCGUUGAUGGACAUUUAGGCUGUCUCCAUGUCUUGGCUAUUGCAAAUAGUGCUGCUAUGAACAUUGGGGUGCAGGUGUCAUCCUGAGUAGGGUUCCUUCUGGAUAUA
rnacentral:lncRNA from 1 species